UUAGCCUAAACAGCCUACAAUGCCAGUCCCAUAAUAUAAACCCACCCUAGAUGCAUGUCUACAAAUACCCUCCACGGUGGUCAACAGCUCAGAAGAGUUGCAGCCAUCAUCAGCUUUGAGGUCAGAACUCCACAGAGGAAACAGACGAUUUAAGAUGCUUUGCUCCAGGUGUGUGCUACCUCUCCUGGCUCUUUACAUGUUGCUGGAGGAGAUAUCUGCAGCUGUAUUGCCCAGCAUCAGGAACAAAAGGGAAGUUAACUGGUUGGACCAAGAGCUCUUCCCCCGACUGCUUGACCUCUCUGUGGGGGACGCCGAGGAGGUGAGCAGGGAUGGGGACGGUCGCCCCUCUCAUUCAGAGACCUUUCUCACCCCAACAGAGCAACUUUCUUUCCAACGCCAGAGCCAGUAUCAGUACCAGCGUAAAGCCAAUGAAAAGAGGAGGAAGGUUGCUCCUCUGGACUCCAUUGGUGGAUUUCAAAUGUCCAGUUUCUGAAACAGAAAGGACGAACCUGACACCCACUGGGAAGAAUUCAGGGAAUAAACAGCAACUACAACAAUUGAGCUCAGUGCCAAUCCAAUACAUGACCUUCUGAUAUAUUCCAUAUUUAUUCAUUAUUUAACUCACUGCCAUACUAACAAGUGAGAUGCCUGUUGACCCACUCCCUCUAGUGGUGGAGGACAGAAACAAGACAAACACAGCUGUGUGCAAACACCUAAUUAAAUGUGAUGAAGUAA